GGCAUUGAUGAUUUUUCAUUCUUUUGUCGGAUACCCCUUCACUCUUAUCAUGGGUGAGAAACACCAUCUGAAAGCC